rnacentral:rRNA from 1 species
UACGAGGGGUGCAAGCGUUGCUCGGAAUUAUUGGGCGUAAAGGGUAGGUAGGUGGUCUCAUUUGUCUGGGGUGAAAGCCUUGAGCUUAACUCAAGAAGUGCCCUAGAAACGGUGAGACUGGAGUCCUGGAGAGGGUCGUGGAAUUCCCGGUGUAGCGGUGAAAUGCGUAGAGAUCGGGAGGAACACCAGCGGCGAAGGCGGCGACCUGGACAGUGACUGACGCUGAGACGCGAAAGCGUGGGGAGCAAACAGG